GGUGGCUCAGUGGUAGAGUGCUUGCCUUGCAUGCAUGACGCCCUGGGUUCGAUUCCCCAGCACCA
rnacentral:tRNA from 1 species